GCUAAUACCGCAUAAGAUCUCAAGACGAAAGCAGGGGACCGCAAGGCCUUGCGCGAUCAGAGCGGCCGAGAGCAGAUUAGGUAGUAGGUGGGAUAAAAGCUUACCAAGCCGACGAUCCGUAGCUGGUCUGAGAGGAUGACCAGCCACACUGGGACUGAGACACGGUCCAGACUCCUACGGGAGGCAGCAGUGGGGAAUAUUGGACAAUGGGCGCAAGCCUGAUCCAGCCAUGCCGCGUGCAGGAAGAAGGCCUUCGGGUUGUAAAGUGCUUUUAUACGGGGAGGAAGAGAACUUAUGGUUAAUACCUGGGGUCCAUGACGGUAUCGUCAGAAUAAGCACCGGCUAACUACGUGCCAGCAGCCGCGGUAAUACGUAGGGUGCAAGCGUUAAUCGGAAUUACUGGGCGUAAAGCGCGCGCAGGCGGUUAUAUAAGUCAGAUGUGAAAUCCCCGGGCUCAACCUGGGAACUGCAUUUGAGACUGUAUAGCUAGAGUAUGGCAGAGGGGGAUGGAAUUCCGCGUGUAGCAGUGAAAUGCGUAGAUAUGUGGAGGAACACCGAUGGCGAAG
rnacentral:rRNA from 1 species